rnacentral:rRNA from 1 species
UAACACAUGCAAGUCGAGCGAGACCUUCGGGUCUAGCGGCGGACGGGUUAGUAACGCGUGGGAACGUGCCCUUCUUCUGCGGCAUAGCCACUGGAAACGGUGAGUAAUACCGCAUACGCCCUUCGGGGGAAAGAUUUAUCGGAGAAGGAUCGGCCCCGCGUUAGAUUAGAUAGUUGGUGGGGUAAUGGCCUACCAAGUCUACGAUCUAUAGCUGGUUUAGAGGAUGAUCAGCAACACUGGGACUGAGACACGGCCCAGACUCCUACGGGAGGCAGCAGUGGGGAAUCUUAGACAAUAGGCGCAAGCCUGAUCUAGCCAUGCCGCGUGUGUGAUGAAGGUCUUAGGAUCGUAAAGCACUUUCGCCAGGGAUGAUAAUGACAGUACCUGGUAAAGAAACCCCGGCUAACUCCGUGCCAGCAGCCGCGGUAAUACGGAGGGGGUUAGCGUUGUUCGGAAUUACUGGGCGUAAAGCGUACGUAGGCGGAUCAGAAAGUAAGGGGUGAAAUCCCAGGGCUCAACCCUGGAACUGCCUCUUAAACUCCUGGUCUUGAGUUCGAGAGAGGUGAGUGGAAUUCCAAGUGUAGAGGUGAAAUUCGUAGAUAUUUGGAGGAACACCAGUGGCGAAGGCGGCUCACUGGCUCGAUACUGACGCUGAGGUACGAAAGUGUGGGGAGCAAACAGGAUUAGAUACCCCUGGUAGUCCACACCGUAAACGAUGAAUGCCAGUCGUCGGGCAGUAUACUGUUCGGUGACACACCUAACGGAUUAAGCAUUCCGCCAGGGGAAUACGGUCGCAAGAUUAAAACUCAAAAGGAAUUGACGGGGGCCCGCACAAGCGGUUGGAGCAUGUGGGUUUAAUUCGAAGCAACGCGCAGAACCUUACCAACCCUUGACAUCCUGUGCUAACCCCGAGAGAUCGGGCGUUCACUUUCGGUGACGCAGUGACAGGUGCUGCAUGGCUGUCGUCAGCUCGUGUCGUGAGAUGUUCGGUUAAGUCCGGCAACGAGCGCAACCCACAUCCUUAGUUGCCAGCAGUUCGGCUGGGCACUCUAAGGAAACUGCCCGUGAUAAGCGGGAGGAAGGUGUGGAUGACGUCAAGUCCUCAUGGCCCUUACGGGUUGGGCUACACACGUGCUACAAUGGCAGUGACAAUGGGUUAAUCCCCAAAAGCUGUCUCAGUUCGGAUUGGGGUCUGCAACUCGACCCCAUGAAGUCGGAAUCGCUAGUAAUCGUGGAACAGCAUGCCACGGUGAAUACGUUCCCGGGCCUUGUACACACCGCCCGUCACACCAUGGGAGUUGGUUCUACCCGACGGCCGCGCGCCAACCUUUCGAGGAGGCAGCGGACCACGGUAGGAUCAGCGACUGGGGUG